AUGCAAGUCGAACGGUAAGGCACCUUCGGGUGUACACGAGUGGCGCACGGGUGAGUAACGCGUGGGUAAUCUGCCUUCGGGUUUGGGACAACUCCGGGAAACUGGAGCUAAUACCGAAUAAGACCACGAGGUCCUUGGGCCUUGCGGAAAAAGGUGGCCUCUUCUUGAAAGCUAUCGCCUGUCGAUGAGCCCGCGUCCCACUAGCUUGUUGGUGAGGUAAAAGCUCACCAAGGCUUCGAUGGGUAGCUGGUCUAAGAGGAUGAUCAGCCACACUGGAACUGAGACACGGUCCAGACUCCUACGGGAGGCAGCAGUCGGGAAUCUUGGGCAAUGGGGGAAACCCUGACCCAGCAACGCCGCGUGAGGGAUGAAGGCCCUCGGGUCGUAAACCUCUGUCGGGAGGGAAGAAAGUGCCGUGGGCCAAUAGUCCGGGGUACUGACGGUACCUCCAAAGGAAGCGCCGGCUAACUCCGUGCCAGCAGCCGCGGUAAUACGGAGGGCGCGAGCGUUGUUCGGAAUUAUUGGGCGUAAAGCGCGUGUAGGCGGCUGGUUAAGUCGGAUGUGAAAGCCCGGGGCUCAACCCCGGAAUUGCAUUCGAAACUGACCAGCUAGAGUCUCG
rnacentral:rRNA from 1 species